UUUAGAGGAAGUAAAAGUCGUAACAAGGUCUCCGUAGGUGAACCUGCGGAGGGAUCAUUACACAAAUAUGAAGGCGGGCUGGAACCUCUCGGGGUUACAGCCUUGCUGAAUUAUUCACCCUUGUCUUUUGCGUACUUCUUGUUUCCUUGGUGGGUUCGCCCACCACUAGGACAAACAUAAACCUUUUGUAAUUGCAAUCAGCGUCAGUAACAAAUUAAUAAUUACAACUUUCAACAACGGAUCUCUUGGUUCUGGCAUCGAUGAAGAACGCAGCGAAAUGCGAUAAGUAGUGUGAAUUGCAGAAUUCAGUGAAUCAUCGAAUCUUUGAACGCACAUUGCGCCCUUUGGUAUUCCAAAGGGCAUGCCUGUUCGAGCGUCAUUUGUACCCUCAAGCUUUGCUUGGUGUUGGGCGUCUUGUCUCUAGCUUUGCUGGAGACUCGCCUUAAAGUAAUUGGCAGCCGGCCUACUGGUUUCGGAGCGCAGCACAAGUCGCACUCUCUAUCAGCAAAGGUCUAGCAUCCAUUAAGCCUUUUUUCAACUUUUGACCUCGGAUCAGGUAGGGAUACCCGCUGAACUUAAGCAUAUCAAUAAG
rnacentral:rRNA from 1 species